GAAUGCUGACAUAAGUAACGAUAAAGCGGGUGAAAAGCCCGCUCGCCGGAAGACCAAGGGUUCCUGUCCAACGUUAAUCGGGGCAGGGUGAGUCGACCCCUAAGGCGAGGCCGAAAGGCGUAGUCGAUGGGAAACGGGUUAAUAUUCCCGUACUUGGUGUUACUGCGAAGGGGGGACGGAGAAGGCUAUGUUGGCCGGGCGACGGUUGUCCCGGUUUAAGCGUGUAGGUGUGUGUUCCAGGUAAAUCCGGUUCACUUUAACACUGAGGCGUGACGACGAGGCACUACGGUGCUGAAGCAACAAAUGCCCUGCUUCCAGGAAAAGCCUCUAAGCAUCAGGUAACAUCAAAUCGUACCCCAAACCGACACAGGUGGUCAGGUAGAGAAUACCAAGGCGCUUGAGAGAACUCGGGUGAAGGAACUAGGCAAAAUGGUGCCGUAACUUCGGGAGAAGGCACGCUGACACGUAGGUGAAGUGAUUUACUCAUGGAGCUGAAGUCAGUCGAAGAUACCAGCUGGCUGCAACUGUUUAUUAAAAACACAGCACUGUGCAAACACGAAAGUGGACGUAUACGGUGUGACGCCUGCCCGGUGCCGGAAGGUUAAUUGAUGGGGUCAGCGCAAGCGAAGCUCCUGAUCGAAGCCCCGGUAAACGGCGGCCGUAACUAUAACGGUCCUAAGGUAGCGAAAUUCCUUGUCGGGUAAGUUCCGACCUGCACGAAUGGCGUAAUGAUGGCCAGGCUGUCUCCACCCGAGACUCAGUGAAAUUGAACUCGCUGUGAAGAUGCAGUGUACCCGCGGCAAGACGGAAAGACCCCGUGAACCUUUACUAUAGCUUGACACUGAACAUUGAGCCUUGAUGUGUAGGAUAGGUGGGAGGCUUUGAAGUGUGGACGCCAGUCUGCAUGGAGCCGACCUUGAAAUACCACCCUUUAAUGUUUGAUGUUCUAACGUGGACCCGUUACCCGGGUUGCGGACAGUGUCUGGUGGGUAGUUUGACUGGGGCGGUCUCCUCCUAAAGAGUAACGGAGGAGCACGAAGGUUGGCUAAUCCUGGUCGGACAUCAGGAGGUUAGUGCAAUGGCAUAAGCCAGCUUGACUGCGAGCGUGAC
rnacentral:rRNA from 1 species